UGGGGAAUAUUGCACAAUGGGCGAAAGCCUGAUGCAGCAACGCCGCGUGAGUGAUGAAGGCCUUCGGGUUGUAAAGCUCUGUCUUUUGGGACGAUAAUGACGGUACCAAAGAAGGAAGCCACGGCUAACUACGUGCCAGCAGCCGCGGUAAUACGUAGGUGGCAAGCGUUGUCCGGAUUUUACUGGGCGUAAAGGAUGCGUAGGCGGAUUUUUAAGUGAGAUGUGAAAUACCCGGGCUUAACUUGGGUGCUGCAUUUCAAACUGGGAAUCUAGAGUGCGGGAGAGGAGAAUGGAAUUCCUAGUGUAGCGGUGAAAUGCGUAGAGAUUAGGAAGAACACCAGUGGCGAAGGCGAUUCUCUGGACCGUAACUGACGCUGAGGCAUGAAAGCGUGGGUAGCAAACAGGAUUAGAUACCCUGGUAGUCCACGCCGUAAACGAUGAGUACUAGGUGUAGGAGGUAUCGACCCCCUUCUGUGCCGCAGUUAACACAAUAAGUACUCCGCCUGGGAAGUACGAUCGCAAGAUUAAAACUUAAAGGAAUUGACGGGGGUCAUAGCUGUUUUUCCC
rnacentral:rRNA from 1 species